UUUUAACGUCUGCUAAAAGUAAGGUAUAGUUGACCGUUGGAAAGAACAUUGCGGGACGGCACAGGGGCAAGAGGGGUCCUUCGUUAGGACCGCCUACCUCCCCACUUCAGGCGCUUUGUUGACAAAUUUGACACCACACGCUUACAUUUAGUGGAAGAAAAACUUACAAUGUGAAUAUUCAGAAUCGUAAAAAUUAUUUUCAUUUGUGAAGUGAGUUUCUACGGAAGGCAAAAGCCAAGUAUGUGAGUAAUAUCCAUGUAUCAGUGUUUAUAUUAGUUCCCUAUCUAAUAGUCGAGAAAUAUCACAAUGCUUGCUAAUUAAGAUAAGCAGCCAAGCUUGUAAUAUCAAAACUCUAUGCGGUCUAAUGUAAUUCACUUCAUGUUGCAUAAUUAACGAUACUCGUUCUCGUCGAUAAUAAUGGAGGCGUAUGUAAUUAUCUUAUUACAUUGCAAACAAUACGAUAAUAGAUCAAUUAUAAAGAUUUAUAUAGGUACUUUUCGAAAGAAUGUUUUUCAAUCUAACCUAUUUCUUCUUCGUAAGUAAAGUUAUAAGUUCAUUUUUUUGUAAAUUUUAUUCGAAAUAUACCGCCAUUAUUUUAUGGAUGGAUGAAAAAUAAUAAUACUAAGGUUUGAUAUGUAAAAUUGGAAGAAAAAUUCGCAUUGUAAUUCGAUACUCGUUAUUUUUUUUUUUCCACUCGAUAAAUUAAACUUCACAGCGUUGAACAGAAUUUCCCUAGUCUAGCUUCGGAGGAAAAAAACUUUGCAUCUAAUUAGAUGCUUGACGUAAUCUCUCAAAAGUUAUUCGCAACGUUAAUUUCCCGCUUCAUUUAACACCGUCUCGAUGGAACAGUUUUAAGGAAAUUACCAUUAAAGCGCUCGAAUCAUUGGCUUUCCCGUAAUUCUGAAAGAAGUUUAACCGGUAAUGAUUCGUUUCAUUAGUGAAGGCAAUAUCGUUCAAAACACAUUGCGAAUAAUUAAUAUCACGAAUAAAAUCUUUGUUAAACUCUUUGCAAAGUUAGUUUGUUUGCCGAAUGAGCAAAAUGAAAAAUAU